GCUAAACGCGAAGAACCUUACCAAGGCUUGACAUAUACCGUUUAUCCCUAGAGAUAGGGAGUCCUUCGGGGCGGUAUACAGGUGGUGCAUGGUUGUCGUCAGCUCGUGUCGUGAGAUGUUGGGUUAAGUCCCGCAACGAGCGCAACCCUCGUUCUAUGUUGCCAGCGCGUAAUGGCGGGGACUCAUAGGAGACUGCCGGGGUCAACUCGGAGGAAGGUGGGGAUGACGUCAAAUCAUCAUGCCCCUUAUGUCUUGGGCUUCACGCAUGCUACAAUGGCCGGUACAAAGGGCUGCAAUACCGCAAGGUGGAGCGAAUCCCAAAAAGCCGGUCUCAGUUCGAUUGAGUCUGCAACUCGACCUCAUGAAGUCGGAGUCGCUAGUAAUCGCAGAUCAGCAACGCUGC
rnacentral:rRNA from 1 species